rnacentral:rRNA from 1 species
GAUCUGGCUCAGGAUGAACGCUAGCUACAGGCUUAACACAUGCAAGUCGAGGGGAAACGACAUCGAAAGCUUGCUUCCGAUGGGCGUCGACCGGCGCACGGGUGAGUAACGCGUAUCCAACCUGCCCACCACUUGGGGAUAACCUUGCGAAAGUAAGACUAAUACCCAAUGAUAUCUCUAGAAGACAUCUGAAAGAGAUUAAAGAUUUAUCGGUGAUGGAUGGGGAUGCGU